AUUUAUUUCGCUAGAAACUCGUAUAAUACGGUAUUUUAUCGCCUCGGGAGACACUUAUUGGUCAUCGGUUGGAUAUUGAACUGACACAUGGGUAAGGUUCACAUUUCAGCUGAUCAUCAGUUUAUUCCAGUGGAGGCUUGUAUAGUAAACUAGGUAAUUGAUAGCACUGUUAUUAUCUAGACCAGUGUAAGUUCAUUGCUUUUGACUGACAAUAGCAUAUGCAGUCAAACUGACAUAGAUUGAGGUUUUCGUAACAUGUGGUAUCAGUAUAUACGUAGAUAUUUUUCAUGAUCAUCUGCAAACGGUUUGCCAGGUUGGGGUGGG